GCCCUUCGGGCUGGUUCGUACAUGUUCGGUUUUUUUUUUUUUUUUUUUAUCUGUACGUUCAAAACAAACAUUGCAAUAUUGAUCAAAAAAUUGUUGACUAAUGUUAUUUUAUAUUUUUUUAAGAGUAAAACACAUGUACACAAAUAUUUCCUUUUACUAAUUAUGAGAUUUUCAGGUAAGUUAUUGAGCUAUUUCUGUUUGAUUUGUUAGGAGAUUAGUUUUGUCCGUUUACAAGUUAACAUUGCUUGUGUUAUUCUUGGCAAGUAAUCAUUUCUUAUAUAAAUUUUUGUACACUAUAGGCUUAUCUUUUUAAAUUUUAGGUAGCGUGUGGAGAUUUCAUCUUAUGUUCAUGAGCGCACAACGUAUAAAAUAUAAAAUCAUAAGAAAUGUUUUCUGGUGGUGUGUAGCAGUUAACCGCAUUUAAGUAAAAGUAUUUUAAAAUGAUUGUUACCAGAGCUGAAUUACAUUGAGGCUUGUGGAGAACAGCUUUUUUUUAAUCUACUCUUUGGCUGGCGAAUGUAAAUAAGCAAUGAUUUCGUGAAUGCAGCGAGAGAGUUUAUUUGAUGUAUUUUAAAAUCACUGAUAAUAUUUAUUGAUGUAUUUUAAAAUCACUGAUAAUAUUUAUUGAUGUAUUUUAAAAUCACUGAUAAUAUUUGUUUUGUGGCUGGAAGAUGGUAACCAUGGUGACUUGUGAAUUUUUAUGAAGAUUAAUAAAAAGCAGUAAAAAUUA